rnacentral:rRNA from 1 species
GGUCGAGGUGUAGCGUAUGGAAAGGGAAGAAAUGGGCUACAUUCCCUAAUACAGUGAAAUACGAACGAUACACUGAAAUACGUAUCUGAAGGAGGAUUUAGCAGUAAGCAGAAAAUAGAGCGUUCCGCUGAAACCGGCCCUGAAGCGCGCACACACCGCCCGUCACUCUCCCCAAGCUUACUAGCUACAUAGUACUUAAAACCUUAAAACUGCAAAGGGGAGGCAAGUCGUAACAUGGUAAGUGUACCGGAAGGUGCACUUGGAAAAAU